UUAAUUGAAGAGUUUGAUCAUGGCUCAGAUUGAACGCUGGCGGCAGGCUUAACACAUGCAAGUCGAGCGGUAGCACAGGGGAGCUUGCUCUCUGGGUGACGAGCGGCGGACGGGUGAGUAAUGUCUGGGAAACUGCCUGAUGGAGGGGGAUAACUACUGGAAACGGUAGCUAAUACCGCAUAACGUCGCAAGACCAAAGAGGGGGAC
rnacentral:rRNA from 1 species